rnacentral:rRNA from 1 species
AUUGAACGCUGGCGGCAGGCCUAACACAUGCAAGUCGAACGAGUGGCGGACGGGUGAGUAAUGUCUGGGAAACUGCCUGAUGGAGGGGGAUAACUACUGGAAACGGUAGCUAAUACCGCAUACCAUCAGAUGUGCCCAGAUGGGAUUAGCUUGUUGGUGGGGUAACCGCUCACCAAGGCGACGAUCCCUAGCUGGUCUGAGAGGAUGACGAGCAACAAUGGAACGGAGACAAGGGCAAGACUGCGACGGGAGGCAGCAGGGGGGAAUAUUGCACAAUGGGAGCAAGCCUGAUGCAGCCAUGCCGCGGGUAUGAAGAAGGCCUUCGGGUUGUAAAGUACUUUCAGCGGGGAGGCGUUACCCGCAGAAGAAGCACCGGAUAACUCCGGGCCAGCCGCCGCGGGAAUAC